rnacentral:rRNA from 1 species
AUUGAACGCUGGCGGCAGGCCUACCACAUGCAAGUCGAGCGCGCGGCGGACGGGUGAGUAAUGUCUGGGACACUGCCUGAUGGAGGGGGAUAACUACUGGAAACGGUAGCUAAUACCGCAUACCAUCAGAUGUGCCCCGAUAGGCUUAGCUAGUAGGUGGGGUAAAUGCUCACCUAGGCGACGAUCCCUAGCUGGUCUGAGAGGAUGACCAGACACACUGGAAAUGAGACAAGAUAAAGACGCCUACGGGAGGCAGCGGUGGGGAAUAUUGAACAAUGGGCGCAAGCAUGAUGUAGCAAUGCCGCGUGUGUGAAGAAGGACUUCGGGGUGUAAAGCACUGUCAGCGGGGAGACGUUACCCGCAGAAGAAGCACCGGCUAACUCCGUGCCAGCAGACGCGGUAAUAC